rnacentral:rRNA from 1 species
AUUGAACGCUGGCGGCAGGCCUAAUACAUGCAAGUCGAACGAGAGGCGGACGGGUGAGUAAUGUCGGGGAACAUGAAUGAUGGAGGGGGAUAACUACUGGAAACGGUAGCUAAUACUGCAUAACAGCGGCUGUGCCAACAUGGGAUAAGCUAGUAGGUGAGGUAAAGGCUCACCUAGGCGACGAUCCAUAGCUGGUCUGAGAGGAUGACCAGCCACACUGUAACUGAGACACGGUCCAGACUCCGACGGGAGGCAGCAGUGGGGAAGAUUGGACAAUGGGCGAAAGCCUGAUGCAGCCAUGCCGCGUGUGUGAAGAAGGCCUUCGGGUUGUAAAGUACUUUCAGCAGGGAAGCGUUACCCGCACAAGAAGCACCGGCUAACUCCGUGCCAGCAGCCGCGGUAAUAC